CAUUCAAUUUCUCCAGGGUCCUGACAAAGGGCCUCUUUCCCUUGCUCAUUUUUUUUUUGAGGAAGAUUAGCCCUGAGCCAACAUCUGCCACCAAUCCUUCUCUUUUUGCUGAGGAAGACUGGCCCUGAACUAACAUCCAUGCCUAUCUUCCCCUACUUUAUAAGUGGGACACCUGCCAUAGCAUGGCUUGAUGAGCAGUGCAUAGGUCCGCACCUAGGAUCGGAACCGGCAAACCCUGGGCCACCAAAGCGGAGCGCUAACUUAACUGCUGUGCCACUGACUGGCCCCCUUCCCUCGCUCAUUCAAUUAGGCAAGAUAAGGAAGCCAUGGGCUAUUCCUUUCCCUUCUUUCUUUUCUUGCUUAAACGGUUUUUUUAGAAUGGAUUUUAUUUGCAAAUAUUAGCAUCAUGUCUAUUUUUGCGUUAGCUUGCAAUGUCUAAAUUAAUGGUAUCAUCCAGUCCAUUGCUUCUUAAUUUCAGAAGCAAAAUCGUGAGGGUUUCUAUGUAAGGAAGCUGGAGAGGAGGCUGCAUGCGUGGAAUGCACUUGGCCCAGGUCUUCCAUGAGUAUUCUGUCUGAAUUCGCUGCCAUCCUGAAAGAAGUGCUUCCCUCCUCCUCUGGUCCUCCUGGUGAUGGGAGAGGAAGGGAUUCCUCCUAUUUUCUGCAGCUGUUUACUUAGGCAGCCAUCAAUAAUUCAGGACAUCAGCUCCUUCCUGAAAGCCCAGGUGAGGGCAAAGGGCCUAGCCCAGGCCAGCAGCUCAUUUGCUCCAUCCUGCAAGACUCAGCUGAUAUCCCGCAGGCUCCUGGCUGGCCAGACCACAGCUGUGCUUGGAGAGGAGAACAAGGUAAGCUUUGACUUUGGAGUUGAGAUCUGGUUUUGUUUUCUCCCUUAGCUACUUCCCCAGCUCUCCUUAGUCUAUGAGAAUGCCAGAGGCCACAUCUGGGGCGGAGACCCUUCUAUCUCUUCUGAGUAGCAGCAUGCUACCCACAGAAGGCUGGGAUCCCAGCCUCAGACUCCAGCUUCUCACACCAGACCAGGGUCGCUGCCCACUACACCCAUUUGGGGGGCCACUGCAGUAGAACGCUGUGUCUGACUUGGUCCCUGGGUGUGGUUGCUGCAUCUUGCUCAUCUCCCCAUGGCUAAUGCUUAACACAAAUCCUGGACUGUGACUUGAAAACGGACACCUUCUUCCUAAUAUAAUCCAGCCCACGAAAUAUUCCUCUGAGUCAGCAAUCUCUUGACCGAGGGGAACAUGCUACAGAUCCUGGGAAAGAGAGUGAAGGAAAUUAGCAAAUGGCAGCUUCCUGCACUUUGCCACAAACAAUAACAAAACCCGUCAAAGGAGCAGAAUAUGGCAGUCAAUAUGGAUUUUCUCAUUCCUGUCAAUCAAAGGGCUUUCAAACACAGGAGAUGCUCCCACUCUGUGCUCACUGUUGGUUUGGGUAGAAGGCCAGGGGGUCUCUCUAAAGAUGUUAAGCAUUUAACACAUGGUGCAGGAGGCCCUGCCUGUGUGCUUGCUAGGAGAGGGCCUAUCUCUCUCAAAUGUGUAGGAUCACUAGGAAUUUGCACAAGAACUUUUGUCUGCUGUGUUUGCUAAGGCACAGCACAAUACUGAUGAGGCAGUAGAUAAUUUACGGGGUUUUUUAAAAAAACAAAUUCUUCUGAGUAGAGUAUAAAUUAUAGUAGUUUAACGUGUCCAUAAUAUAGAACACGCUGCAUGUGUGGAGAAGAGGAGUAAGUUAGGGAAAAUAGAAACUGCUUUAUUAAGACGGAAUUUCACUGUAUUUUACAGCAUAAUACUAAUUCCCAACAACCAGGAUAGAUUCUUUUCAUAGUGAACAAAGUUCAUAAGAAAACUAUGUGAAUAUUCUCUGGAGACCCUAAAGACAGAGAGAAAUUGAAUAAAAAUAAAUCAGCUUGAAAAUCCAUGAAUGUUUCUGCAGAGUAUCAGGACAUCAGCAGUUGGGAAACUAACGCAUUCAAAUUAUUAUUACUACUUUGUAUUAGAGCAGCUAUUUAAUUGUCACCAAUGAGAGGAAAGUGGUGUAUUUUUCAGUUUGGCAUUUUCAGAACUGUCAGUGAUCAGAUAAAUAAAUAAAUAUGCAAGCGAAUUAUUUUUAUCUCUUCCUGUUUUAGCUAAGUAGCCGGUCAAUGGUCUUUAAUAGAUUUUAUUUCUAAAAGCCACACUUAAGAAAGGAAGGUCAACAGAUGAAAAGGAUCCAGCCUCUUGGG
ensembl:lncRNA